rnacentral:rRNA from 1 species
UACGGAGGGUGCAAGCGUUGCUCGGAAUCACUGGGCGUAAAGCGACCGCAGGCGGUCUGACAAGUCGGAUGUGAAAGCCCUGGGCUCAACCCAGGAAUUGCAUUCGAAACUGGCAGACUUGAGUACGAGAGAGGGGGGUGGAAUUCCUGGUGUAGGGGUGAAAUUCGUUGAUAUCAGGAGGAACACCGGCGGCGAAGGCGGCCCCCCUGGCUCGCAACUGACGCUCAUGGUCGAAAGCGUGGGGAGCAAACAGG